AGGCCAUUGCUAUUGGAGUCCGAUUUAGCCAUGCUAGUCGCACGGGUUCAGACCCGUGGCGAAUAGCUCCGUAACACGUGGCCAAACUACCCUCUGGAUCGGGAUAACCUCGGGAAACUGAGGCUAAUACCGAAUAUCGCUCUCAUCCUGGAAUUGGAGAGAGCACGAAACGCUCCGGCGCCAUAGGAUGUGGCUGCGGCCGAUUAGGUAGACGGUGGGGUAACGGCCCACCGUGCCGAUAAUCGGUACGGGUUGUGAGAGCAAGAACCCGGAGACGGUAUCUGAGACAAGAUACCGGGCCCUACGGGGCGCAGCAGGCGCGAAACCUUUACACUGCACGAACGUGCGAUAAGGGGACUCCAAGUGCGAGGGCAUACAGUCCUCGCUUUUCCCUACCGUAAGGUGGUAGGUGAAUAAGAGCUGGGCAAGACCGGUGCCAGCCGCCGCGGUAAUACCGGCAGCUCGAGUGAUGGCCAAUAUUAUUGGGCCUAAAGCGUCCGUAGCUGGCCGAACAGGUCUGUCGGGAAAUCCGCUCGCUCAACGAGCGGACGUCCGGCGGAAACCAGUUGGCUUGGGACCGGAAGACCCGAGGGGUACGUCCGGGGUAGGAGUGAAAUCCUGUAAUCCUGGACGGACCGCCGGUGGCGAAAGCGCCUCGGGAGAACGGAUCCGACAGUGAGGGACGAAAGCUUGGGUCACGAACCGGAUUAGAUACCCGGGUAGUCCAAGCUGUAAACGAUGCUCGCUAGGUGUGGCACUGGCUACGAGCCAGUGCUGUGCCGUAGGGAAGCCGAGAAGCGAGCCGCCUGGGAAGUACGUCCGCAAGGAUGAAACUUAAAGGAAUUGGCGGGGGAGCACUACAACCGGAGGAGCCUGCGGUUUAAUUGGACUCAACGCCGGACAUCUCACCAGCACCGACAGUGUGCGAUGAAGAUCAGUGUGAUGAGCUUAUUGGAGCCACUGAGAGGAGGUGCAUGGCCGCCGUCAGCUCGUACCGUGAGGCGUCCU
rnacentral:rRNA from 1 species